UACGGAGGGGGCCAGCGUUGUUCGGAAUUAUUGGGCGUAAAGAGCUCGUAGGCGGUCUGUCGCGUCGGCUGUGAAAACCCGGGGCUCAACCCCGGGCCUGCAGUCGAUACGGGCGGACUGGAGUACUGCAGGGGAGACUGGAAUUCCUGGUGUAGCGGUGAAAUGCGCAGAUAUCAGGAGGAACACCGGUGGCGAAGGCGGGUCUCUGGGCCGAUACUGACGCUGAGGAGCGAAAGCGUGGGGAGCAAACAGG
rnacentral:rRNA from 1 species